UAACGCGUAGGUAACCUGCCUUGUAGCGGGGGAUAACUAUUGGAAACGAUAGCUAAUACCGCAUAACAAUGAAUGACACAUGUCAUUUAUUUGAAAGGGGCAAUUGCUCCACUACAAGAUGGACCUGCGUUGUAUUAGCUAGUAGGUGAGGUAACGGCUCACCUAGGCGACGAUACAUAGCCGACCUGAGAGGGUGAUCGGCCACACUGGGACUGAGACACGGCCCAGACUCCUACGGGAGGCAGCAGUAGGGAAUCUUCGGCAAUGGGGGCAACCCUGACCGAGCAACGCCGCGUGAGUGAAGAAGGUUUUCGGAUCGUAAAGCUCUGUUGUAAGUCAAGAACGAGUGUGAGAGUGGAAAGUUCACACUGUGACGGUAGCUUACCAGAAAGGGACGGCUAACUACGUGCCAGCAGCCGCGGUAAUACGUAGGUCCCGAGCGUUGUCCGGAUUUAUUGGGCGUAAAGCGAGCGCAGGCGGUUUGAUAAGUCUGAAGUUAAAGGCUGUGGCUCAACCAUAGUUCGCUUUGGAAACUGUCAAACUUGAGUGCAGAAGGGGAGAGUGGAAUUCCAUGUGUAGCGGUGAAAUGCGUAGAUAUAUGGAGGAACACCGGUGGCGAAAGCGGCUCUCUGGUCUGUAACUGACGCUGAGGCUCGAAAGCGUGGGGAGCGAACAGGAUUAGAUACCCUGGUAGUCCACGCCGUAAACGAUGAGUGCUAGGUGU
rnacentral:rRNA from 1 species